ensembl:snRNA U6 U6 spliceosomal RNA
GUGCUCGCUUUGGCAGCACAUAUACUAAAAUUGGAACAUUCAGAGACGAUUAGCAUGGCCCCUGAGCAAGGAUGACACGCAAAUUUGUGAAGCGUUCCAUAGUUUU